AAAAGCUCAAAUUUGAAAUCUGGUACCUUCGGUGCCCGAGUUGUAAUUUGGAGAGGGCAACUUUGGGGCCGUUCCUUGUCUAUGUUCCUUGGAACAGGACGUCAUAGAGGGUGAGAAUCCCGUGUGGCGAGGAGUGCGGUUCUUUGUAAAGUGCCUUCGAAGAGUCGAGUUGUUUGGGAAUGCAGCUCUAAGUGGGUGGUAAAUUCCAUCUAAAGCUAAAUAUUGGCGAGAGACCGAUAGCGAACAAGUACAGUGAUGGAAAGAUGAAAAGAACUUUGAAAAGAGAGUGAAAAAGUACGUGAAAUUGUUGAAAGGGAAGGGCAUUUGAUCAGACAUGGUGUUUUGUGCCCUCUGCUCCUUGUGGGUAGGGGAAUCUCGCAUUUCACUGGGCCAGCAUCAGUUUUGGUGGCAGGAUAAAUCCAUAGGAAUGUAGCUUGCCUCGGUAAGUAUUAUAGCCUGUGGGAAUACUGCCAGCUGGGACUGAGGACUGCGACGUAAGUCAAGGAUGCUGGCAUAAUGGUUAUAUGCCGCC
rnacentral:rRNA from 1 species